AAGUCGUAACAAGGUAACCGUAGGUGAACCUGCGGUUGGAUCAUUAAAAAUUUAUCUUAGUCUCUGGGGUUAUUAAUUUAACCCCAUGAUGGCUAUUAACACCUGUGCACAUUAAUGUAUCUUGGGUAGUUUUAUCUAUCCAAAAUUUUGAAUAACCCCUAUUGAUUAUGUCUGAAAAAUUAUAUUAAAUAUAAACAACUUUUGACAACGGAUCUCUAGGCUCUC
rnacentral:misc_RNA from 1 species